UUUCCAGAUGGCAGUUAUCUUGGGUUUGGAAAAUGAAAGAAAGUGUGUAAAAGAGAAAUCAUGUUUGACAAAUUUGCUAGAGUUUUUUGAGGAUGUAACAAGCAGAGUUGUUAAAGGGGAAAUGAUAGAUGUAGUGUACUUGGAUUUCCAGAAGACAUUCAAAAGGCAUCAUGUAAAAGGUUAUUGUUCAAGGUAGGAGCUCAUGGUAUUAGGAUGGAUUGAGGAUUGGUUAACACACAGAACAUCUUGGGUCAGGAUUAAUGGUUAGGAUUAGGGUUAGGAUUAAGGUUAGGGUUGGAAACAUGUAACUAGUGAAGUGCCACAAGGAUCAAUUUUAGAGCCUCAAAUAUUUAACAUUUAUACUAAUGACUUAGAGGAAGGGACAGAGUGUAAUGUAUCUAAAAUUUGCUGAUGAUCCAGGAAUAGACAGGGGAUCAUGUUGCAUUAAGGACAUGAGGCAUUUGCAAGGGUUUGUGGAUAGUGUGAGCGAGUGGGCAGAAACUUGGCAGAUGAAAUUUGGUGCAGGAAAGUGUGUGGUAAAUGUGUCAAAUGCCAUGUCUAUCCUGUCGACCUGUGGCUCCGCUUUCAAGGAACUAUGCAUUGGGUCUCUUUGCAUUGUAAGACUAUUUAUU